AGAGUUUGAUCCUGGCUCAGGACGAACGCUGACGGUGUGCUUUAGACAUGCAAGUCGAACGAGAAAGCCCUUCGGGGUGAGUACAGUGGCGAACGGGUGAGUAACACGUGGGUAACCUACCCCUCGCAGGGGGAUAACCGGGGGAAACCCCGGCUAAUACCCCGUACGCUUGCCGGGCCGCAUGGUCCGGUAAGGAAAAAGGUAGCUUCGGCCAUCCGGCGAGGGAUGGGCCCGCGGUGCAUUAGCUAGUUGGUGGGGUAACGGCCCACCAAGGCUACGAUGCAUAGCUGGUCUGAGAGGAUGAUCAGCCACACUGGGACUGAGACACGGCCCAGACUCCUACGGGAGGCAGCAGUCGGGAAUCUUGCGCAAUGGGCGAAAGCCUGACGCAGCAACACCGUGUGAGCGACGAAGGCCUUCGGGUCGUAAAGCUCUGUUGUUGGGGACGAAGGGCGAAGGGUUAAUAGCCCCUAGCUUGACGGUACCCUUCGAGGAAGCCCCGGCUAACUACGUGCCAGCAGCCGCGGUAAUACGUAGGGGGCGAGCGUUGUCCGGAAUUAUUGGGCGUAAAGAGCGUGUAGGCGGUUCGGUAAGUCUGCCGUGAAAACCUGGGGCUCAACCCUGGGCGUGCGGUGGAUACUGCCGGGCUAGAGGAUGGUAGAGGCGAGCGGAAUUCCCGGUGUAGCGGUGAAAUGCGCAGAUAUCGGGAGGAACACCAGUAGCGAAGGCGGCUCGCUGGGCCAUUCCUGACGCUGAGACGCGAAAGCUAGGGGAGCGAACAGGAUUAGAUACCCUAGUAGUCC
rnacentral:rRNA from 1 species